rnacentral:tRNA from 1 species
GCAGUAGUGGUUCAGUGGUAGAAUUCUGGCCUUUUUCAUGCUGGAGACCUGGGUUAGAUUCCCAGCCGAUGUA